rnacentral:lncRNA from 10 species
AAAGAGACUGGAAGGCACCUUUCCUGCCUGAUUGAUGUUUAUGAAUGUACUACUUUCCCCUGGGCUGCAGUCAUCAAUAGUCAAUGAGAAGGAAGGCUGGCGUUUUUGGAAAUGCUCUGCUGCCAUCCCUCAGGAUCUAUAUCCUCAAUGAAGUUCUGAUGGCUCUAGCCAUUUCAGAAAAAACCUACACAGAGGGUACUUCACUUAGUCCUAAA